rnacentral:rRNA from 1 species
GAUGAACGUUGACAGAAUGCUUAACACAUGCAAGUCAACUUGAACUUCGGUUUGGGUGGCGGACGGGUGAGUCACGCGUAAAGAACUUGCCUCACAGCUAGGGACAACAUUUGGAAACGAAUGCUAAUACCUGAUAUUAUGAUUUUAGGGCAUCCUAGAAUUAUGAAAGCUAUAUGCGCUGUGAGAGAGCUUUGCGUCCCAUUAGCUAGUUGGAGAGGUAACGGCUAACCAAGGCGAUGAUGGGUAGCCGGCCUGAGAGGGUGAACGGCCACAAGGGGACUGAGAAACGGCCCUUACUCUACCGGGAGGAAACAGUGGGGAAUAUUGGACAAUGGACCAAGAGUCUGAUACAGCAAUUCUGUGUGCAAGAUGAAGUUUUUCGGAAUGUAAAGUGCUUUCAGUUGGGAAGAAAAAAAUGACGGUACCAACAGAAGAAGUGACGGCUAAAUACGUG